AUUGAACGCUGGCGGCAGGCCUAACACAUGCAAGUCGAACGGUAACAGGAAACAGCUUGCUGUUUCGCUGACGAGUGGCGGACGGGUGAGUAAUGUCUGGGAAACUGCCUGAUGGAGGGGGAUAACUACUGGAAACGGUAGCUAAUACCGCAUAACGUCGCAAGACCAAAGAGGGGGACCUUCGGGCCUCUUGCCAUCGGAUGUGCCAAGAUGGGAUUAGCUUGUUGGUGGGGUAACGGCUCACCAAGGCGACGAUCCCUAGCUGGUCUGAGAGGAUGACCAGCCACACUGGAACUGAGGCACGGUCCAGACUCCUACGGGAGGCAGCAGUGGGGAAUAUUGCACAAUGGGCGCAAGCCUGAUGCAGCCAUGCCGCGUGUAUGAAGAAGGCCUUCGGGUUGUAAAGUACUUUCAGCGGGGAGGAAGGGAGUAAAGUUAAUACCUUUACUCAUUGACGUUACCCGCAGAAGAAGCACCGGCUAACUCCGUGCCAGCAGCCGCCGCCG
rnacentral:rRNA from 1 species